ACCAGCAGCAGCGCCGCCGCCGCCGCCGCCCUUAGUAGCCGCGCGUCCAGCGCGCCGCAUCUACUCGAGAGGAAGAGUCCAGGCGAGCCCGCCUUCGCUCGCCGCCGCUCUACCUGGAAGAGUAGCGCGGGGCGGAGCCGAGCCCGGGGGCGGGGCGGAGCGCCAGUCAGGCGAGGAAGGCAGGUGGGAGACCCGGGCACGCUGGGGAGUGAGCGGCUUCCUCUUCUCGAAAGCGCCGUCAUCGGGAGCAGUCCCUGCGUGUUGCGUCGCCUGUGAGGCUGCAAUCCGACCCUGGGCCGGCGGGGAUCCCGCGCUCUUUGGAGCGGAGCGGGAGAACGCAGGUGGGACUAGGUGCUGUCAAUUUACGGUCCUAGGCGGCAGUGUGACCGUCCAGCUCGUCAGAGAACCGGGCCGUGGGGAAGCGGUCCUGUGUCCGACUGCCUUUGUUCUGGAGGAGAAUCGCGAGACAUACCGCACCGGCUUGGAGUGCCAGAACUGAACGGAGCUCCCGGAGCUCUUUCCGCACGAAAUCCACUCCUGAUUUACUCCAAAGCUUUCUUGGUUUCAGCAGUAUAAUGGGGUGGGUGGUGCGGAGCCACUGUGUUUUUAAACUAUUGCGAUUCAGAAAAUCCUUGAGGUUCACCCAGAGAUCUACCCCAGUAGAUCCCAGCAUAUCUUCUGCCCACUCCCAGUCAGAGAUCUGCACAUUGGACUGGAGCCGAGACUCCAAAAUGAAAUGCAGUUUCUCUUCCUCAGAAUGUAGUAUGAUCUUGAAAUGUGGCAGAUGGGGACAAAGAACCUUGUGGUCGGUACAAAAUUUAUACAGAAGCUGAGAAUACAAAGGGGGGUGGGAUCUCCCAUGCAAAGGAUGCAUUUUUCUUCCUGCAACGAAAACAGGAAGCAGCCUCAGCAAAGUAGCGGAAUAAACCCCUCAUAAAAGGUAUGUAGAACGACCCUGCCUAAUACACUGUGGGAUGAACUACUCCACAGACCUGCUCCCCAACCUUUGUGGCUCCAUGGGCACGUUUGGGAAACGACUGUGGCACAUCACAAAAUGUCUCAUCGAUGGAUCACAUUUUGUCUUCUGCUUGUCAUGGCUUAUCAGUCUCAGUUUAUUAUAACUAUUCCAUCUUUGCUGAUUAUUAUCCUGUUUAUUAACAUUUUUCAGCAAAAGCCAUUCUUUUGUGUCUAUUGGACAUCACGACAUUUCUUAAACAAUUGUC